GCAGUCAGUGCAGUCAGGGCAGUUCAGUUUGUGGAGUUCGGAGGCAGUUUUUCUAAGCAUGCAAUUCAGUGGGAAGCUGAGAGAAGCCAGCUUGAAUCAGUCAGCUUGAACCAGAACAGCUGAAUUGAACUAGCCAGCAGAGUUCAGAAAAAGCUAGAACGAGUGAGUUUAUUCAGCAAUGAGCCUCCAAGGCUGGAACAUUCUAGGCCUAGGGUCUUCUAGCUAAAAUUGCAGUAUCCUGUGGAGACAGCACAGGGGUGAGCUGCAUCAGGAAGGUGCAGCAGGGCUCUGCAGAUUCUCCUGGAGAUGACACUGAAGAUGACUAACCAGCAGGAAAGGCUGCUCUUCUUAUCGCAGAUCACAUGGAUGGAGUUAUGGGGAUAACACCAGGGUCAUACAACAUUUGAACUGCUACUUCCUGUUACAGACUGAAUUGAAUCCUCAUAUCCUCAAACUAAAAUAUUAAAGCUCUAACUUUCAAUGUAACACGGUUUGAAGAUGCUGCAUGAUCCACUGAGAGGCCUGUUUCCUCCUGGGGGAGGAGGUGGCAAUUAAUACGCUUACUACAUGGGAAGCAGCAUGGCUCUGGACUAAGCUAUGAGUCA